UUUACUUGGUAUUAGUAAAUGUGGCUGAAAGACCAAUUUAGGUCUUUCAGCCUUUUAGCAGAUAACUCCCUGAUACCGUGGGAAUUAGGGAGUUAUCUACUAAGCGGCUGCAAGGUGCAGCCACAGCAUGAAUAGGAUCGGAGUUUCAUUCAUUCGAAUGAAAUUGCGAUCCUAAUAAAGUGCCGAAUUGCGUUCUAAAAGAAACGAAC